rnacentral:rRNA from 1 species
AGUGAACGCUGGCGGCAGGCCUAACACAUGCAAGUCGAACGGCAGCACAGUAAGAGCUUGCUCUUACGGGUGGCGAGUGGCGGACGGGCGAGGAAUACAUUGGAACCUACUUUUUCGUGCGGGAUAACGUAGGGAAACUUACGCUAAUACUGCUAAUGACUUACGGGCGAAAGCAGGGGCUCUUCGGACCUUGCGCGAUUGAAUGAGCAGAUGUCGGAUUAGCUAGUUGGCGGGGUAAAGGCCCACCAAGGCGGCGACCCGUAGCUGGUCUGAGAGGAUAGUCAGCCACACUGGAACUGAGACACGGUCCCGACUCCUACAGGAGGCAGCAGUGGGGAAUAUUAGGCGAUGGGCGCAAGCCUGAUCCAGCCAUACCGCGUGAGUGAAGAAGGCCUUCGGGUUGUAAAGCCCUUUUGUUGGGAAAGAAGAGCAGCAGGUUAAUACCCCGCUGUUCUGACGGUACCCAAAUAAUAAGCACCGGCUAACUUCGUG